ensembl:ncRNA lncRNA:CR45762 long non-coding RNA:CR45762
CUCGACUUUUCUGUUUCGUCUAGCUUUUGUUGAUUUUCCACGUGUACUUUCUGUUUUCUGUCAGUUUUUUUUUCACCCCCACCAAAAGUCUUUAUUCACAUCUAGCGAGUGUAUUCAAUGUGCAACUGCAGCUGAAGCAGAUGUUCUGCCCAAACCGGGUAUUUAUGAAGGAUCUUUCACCGCCUGGUUGGACUUGAAUACCACACUAAGUCGGGUACUGAGCCUGCAAAGCGGGCUCGUAAACACGUAGAAUAUUGGCCAUUAAGUGGUGUCAGAAAGGCCGAGAAUCGAGGAGUGAUGGGCCAUAGAUCAGGCCCAUUCUGAGGCCACCCAGGAAAUCAUUUAAAAGACAUUAAAAUUUAUUUGGGACCUCGUUAAAGUGCCCGCGGUACAAGUACACACAAUAGGCAAUAAAACCUGCGUGCGUCACUCCGAAAAGGUUGUCCUAACAGUAGAUUAUGUAAAUGGCACCGGCCAAACACGUGUUCUCUUAAAGCCUCCCUCAGUCCAACCUGGCGUAUACGCAAUAUCGAGGCUAAGGCUGGCUGUCGGUGAGAUCCUAAGUCGGACAACUGCAGUAAAGCAGCUGGAGCUGCACACCCACAGCCAUAUGUAUAUCCAAAGAUACAGAUACAGCGCAUACAGUCCAUAUGUUGCGUGCAAAUCACAGAGCAGUCGGGAUGUGUUGGUUUUGGGUUCGGGCUGGGUUCCUCAACUAUCUGCUCCUCUGUCCUUCCGUCUGCCAUCGCCGGCUACUAAAGACGUUGCCAACAGGAAGUUUGCAAACCAAAAACGGAAGCACCAAGAUUUAUUAUAAAAAUGCUCAUAGCUCAGGCAGGCAAGCGGCAGCAUAUUACGUUAAAAGUGCCCAACACACACAUAGUCUGGAAAAGUUUUACGUGCGCACAGACACACACAAUGGGAACACUUAGAAAAUAUCUUUUUCGAUGUAUAUAUAAUAAUACUGCCCCAGUUUAAUUUCAUUUAAUAAAUUUCAGUUUGGUUUACUAGCUUUGAGGG